rnacentral:rRNA from 1 species
UGGGGAAUAUUGGACAAUGGGCGCAAGCGUGAUCUAGCCAUGCCGCGUGAGUGAUGAAGGGGCGAGGGGGGUAAAGCGCGUUCACGGGGGAAGAUAAUGACGGUAACCGGAGAAGAAGCCCCGGCUAACGUAGUGCCAGCAGCCGCGGUAAUAAGAAGGGGGCUAGCGUUGUUCGGAUUUACUGGGCGAAAAGCGCACGUAGGCGGACGUUUAAGUCAGGGGUGAAAACCCGGGGCACAACCCCGGAACUGCCUUUGAUACUUGAAGUCGUGAGUAUGGUAGAGGUGAGUUGAAUUCCGAGUGUAGAGGUGAGAUUCGUAGAUAUUCGGAGAAACACCAGUGGCGAAGGCGGCUCACUGGACCAUUACUGACGCUGGGGUGCGAAAGCGUGGGGAGCAAACAGG